GUCUCCAGAAAGUUUUCU
rnacentral:snRNA from 1 species